rnacentral:tRNA from 1 species
ACCUUGUGGUGUACAACAUAUCGGAUUGCAAAUCCGAGGAAGUAGGUUAGUCGCCUGCCGGGGUUU